GACUCGUCACACUAUCAUUAACUGAAUCCAUAGGUUAAUGAGGCGAACCGGGGGAACUGAAACAUCUAAGUACCCCGAGGAAAAGAAAUCAACCGAGAUUCCCCCAGUAGCGGCGAGCGAACGGGGAGGAGCCCAGAGCCUGAAUCAGCAUGUGUGUUAGUGGAAGCGUCUGGAAAGGCGCGCGAUACAGGGUGACAGCCCCGUACACAAAAGCGCAUGUGCUGUGAGCUCGAUGAGUAGGGCGGGACACGUGGUAUCCUGUCUGAAUAUGGGGGGACCAUCCUCCAAGGCUAAAUACUCCUGACUGACCGAUAGUGAACCAGUACCGUGAGGGAAAGGCGAAAAGAACCCCGGCGAGGGGAGUGAAAAAGAACCUGAAACCGUGUACGUACAAGCAGUGGGAGCACCCUUUGGGGUGUGACUGCGUACCUUUUGUAUAAUGGGUCAGCGACUUAUAUUCUGUAGCAAGGUUAACCGUAUAGGGGAGCCGGAGGGAAACCGAGUCUUAAUUGGGCGUUAAGUUGCAGGGUAUAGACCCGAAACCCGGUGAUCUAGCCAUGGGCAGGUUGAAGGUUGGGUAACACUAACUGGAGGACCGAACCGACUAAUGUUGAAAAAUUAGCGGAUGACCUGUGGCUGGGGGUGAAAGGCCAAUCAAACCGGGAGAUAGCUGGUUCUCCCCGAAAGCUAUUUAGGUAGCGCCUCGUGAA
rnacentral:rRNA from 1 species